UACAGAGGUGGCAAGCGUUGUUCGGAAUUACUGGGCGUAAAGGGCGCGUAGGCGGCCUUCUAAGUCAGACGUGAAAUCCCUCGGCUUAACCGGGGAACUGCAUCUGAUACUGGAUGGCUUGAGAUUGGGAGAGGGAUGCGGAAUUCCAGGUGUAGCGGUGAAAUGCGUAGAUAUCUGGAGGAACACCGGUGGCGAAGGCGGCAUCCUGGACCGAGAUUGACGCUGAGGCGCGAAAGCCAGGGGAGCAAACGGG
rnacentral:rRNA from 1 species